rnacentral:lncRNA from 1 species
CCCCCCCCAAAAAAACCUAAACUAAAUAGAGUCAUGGAGAGUUGGAUGUGACUGAAAAUGACUGAACAACAACACCUUUAAGAUCAUGGUUUCAAAUUCCUUUCCAGAAUGGUUGGUCCCAUAUGAUGAGCUAGCAAAUCCUUAGAGAUAUUUGAUGAAAGGAUUUUUUCCCGAUCAACUGCUUCCUUUUUUAUUCUAGUUAAAUAAGUUUUGUUCAUGCAGAAGAUUUUCCAUUUCAUGUAAAGCAGAUUAUCUAUUUUAUCUCAUCAUCACAUCUCACCCCUGAGAUAAAAACUGUGAAAAUAUAUGAUCUGGUUCUCAUUUACUUUUUUAUGGCUUAACCUUUAAUAUUCUGGUCAUGUAUCCAUUUUGAGCUUAUUGCUGUCUAUGUUGGUCCAAACCUAAUUUCUGCCAAACUACUAGCCAGUUUUCACAGUGAUUUUUGACAAAUAAGGAGUUCUUACCUAGGUAAUUUGUUCUCCAGUUUAUUGAAGACUGGGUUAUUCAGUUCAAUCGUUUCAGAUUCUUUCUUAUCUAGUCUGUUCCACUGAUCUACUUCCUUCUUUUUCAACCAAUAUCAGAUCUUUUUUUAUUAUUACUGCUUUAUAAGAUAAUUCUCAAUCUGGAAAUUCUAUUCUAAGAGAGAACCUUUUUUAAAAAACAAAGAAAUAAAUUUCUAAACCUGGAAUUUUUGACACUGUAACUGGUGGGUAAAUAUUUGGGCUCAGCUCAUGAGGAAGUGUUCCCUCAUAUUAAGCCUCCUGAGUGGGGCACUGAACAGAGGACCAAGACUAGAGUCAGGAAGACUCAUCUUCCUAAGUUCAUAUCUGGCUUUAGACUACAUAAAUACUACCUAUUAGUGCUUAUUGAAUGAACAAAUGAAUGAAUGCAUUUUUCAUUAAGCAAAUAGAAAAGUGAAACCUACAUAUAAAUGGUUUUGGGGAAGGGAUGAAGGGAGCCUAAAGAAACAGUCUUGUCUGCUCUCCCCAUCCCUGGAGGAUUUCUUUAAAAAAUUAAAAAAG